rnacentral:rRNA from 1 species
UACGUAGGGGGCAAGCGUUAUCCGGAUUCACUGGGCGUAAAGGGAGCGCAGGCGGCACGGCAAGUCUGGUGUGAAAGCCCGGGGCCCAACCCCGGGACUGCAUUGGAAACUGCCGGGCUGGAGUGCCGGAGAGGUAGGCGGAAUUCCUAGUGUAGCGGUGAAAUGCGUAGAUAUUAGGAGGAACACCAGUGGCGAAGGCGGCCUACUGGACGGUGACUGACGCUGAGGCUCGAAAGCGUGGGGAGCAAACAGG